rnacentral:rRNA from 1 species
AGAGUUUGAUCAUGGCUCAGAUUGAACGCUGGCGGCAGGCCUAACACAUGCAAGUCGAACGGUAACAGGAUAGCUUGCUAUCGCUGACGAGUGGCGGACGGGUGAGUAAUACUUAGGGAUCUGCCUCUGUGUGGGGGAUAACUAUUGGAAACGAUAGCUAAUACCGCAUAAUGUCUCCGGACCAAAGAGGGCUUUUAGCUCUCGCGCAGAGAGGAACCUAAGCGAGAUUAGCUAGUUGGUGAGGUAAAGGCUCACCAAGGCGACGAUCUCUAGCUGUUCUGAGAGGAAGAUCAGCCACACUGGAACUGAGACACGGUCCAGACUCCUACGGGAGGCAGCAGUGGGGAAUAUUGCACAAUGGGGGAAACCCUGAUGCAGCCAUGCCGCGUGUGUGAAGAAGGCCUUCGGGUUGUAAAGCACUUUCAGUUGUGAGGAAAGUUUAGUAGUUAAUACCUGCUAGAUGUGACGUUAGCAACAGAAGAAGCACCGGCUAACUCCGUGCCAGCAGCCGCGGUAAUACGGAGGGUGCGAGCGUUAAUCGGAAUUACUGGGCGUAAAGCGCACGCAGGCGGUCUGUUAAGCUAGAUGUGAAAGCCCCGCGCUCAACGUGGGAGGGUCAUUUAGAACUGGCAGACUAGAGUCUUGGAGAGGGGAGUGGAAUUCCAGGUGUAGCGGUGAAAUGCGUAGAGAUCUGGAGGAACAUCAAUGGCGAAGGCAACUCCCUGGCCAAAGACUGACGCUCAUGUGCGAAAGUGUGGGUAGCGAACAGGAUUAGAUACCCUGGUAGUCCACACCGUAAACGCUGUCUACUAGCUGUUUGUGGAUUUAAUCCGUGAGUAGCGAAGCUAACGCGAUAAGUAGACCGCCUGGGGAGUACGGCCGCAAGGUUAAAACUCAAAUGAAUUGACGGGGGCCCGCACAAGCGGUGGAGCAUGUGGUUUAAUUCGAUGCAAC